GCCCUUAGAGUUUGAUCCUGGCUCAGAACGAACGCUGGCGGCGUGGUUUAGGCAUGCAAUUCGUACGAAUUAGUGCAGAGCAAAGCGCGAACUGCAGCAAUGCAGCGAGUGAAUAGCUCGUGUUAAUUAGUGGCGUAAGGGUGAGUAACACGUGGGUAAUCUACUCCCAAGACAGGAAUAACCUGCCGAGAGGCAGGCUAAUACCGGAUAAGACUACAAGGAAGACAUCUUCCAGUAAUAAAAGGGUGGCUUAAGUCUUAGACUGCUGCCGCUUGGGAAGGAGCCUGCGCCCCAUUAGCUAGUUGGUAGGGUAAAAGCCUACCAAGGCGACGAUGGGUAGCCGGCCUGAGAGGGUGAACGGCCACACUGGGACUGAGACACUGCCCAGACUCCUACGGGAGGCUGCAGUCGAGAAUCUUUCGCAAUGGACGAAAGUCUGACGAAGCGACGCCGCGUGAGCGAUGAAGGUCUUCGGAUUGUAAAGCUCUGUCACCGGGGAAGAAGGCUGCCUGAUAAAUAGUUGGGUAGCUUGACGGUACCCGGAGAGGAAGCCCCGGCUAACUCCGUGCCAGCAGCCGCGGUAAUACGGAGGGGGCGAGCGUUGUUCGGAUUUAUUGGGCGUAAAGAGCGUGUAGGUGGUAAUUUAAGUCGGGCGUGAAAACCUCUGGCUCAACCAGAGGCUGUCGUUCGAAGCUGAGUAACUUGAGUAUGGGAGAGGGAAGCGGAAUUCCUGGUGUAGCGGUGAAAUGCGCAGAUAUCAGGAGGAACACCGAUGGCGAAGGCAGCUUUCUGGCCCACAACUGACACUGAGACGCGAAAGCGUGGGGAGCAAACAGGAUUAGAUACCCUGGUAGUCCACGCCGUAAACGAUGGGCACUAGGUGUAUCCGCUUAGGCGGAUGUGCCGUAGCUGACGUGUUAAGUGCCCCGCCUGGGGAGUACGAUCGCAAGGUUGAAACUCAAAGGAAUUGACGGGGGCCCGCACAAGCGGUGGAGCAUGUGGCUCAAUUCGAUGCUACGCGAAAAACCUUACCGGGGUUUGACAUGCACUUGACAGCUCUGGAAACAGAGUCUCUCUUCGGAGCAGGUGCACAGGUGCUGCAUGGCUGUCGUCAGCUCGUGUCGUGAGAUGUCGGGUUAAGUCCUACAACGAGCGCAACCCCUGUCCUUAGUUGCCAUCCUGUCUUUAUGAUAGAGGCACUCUAGGGAGACUGCCUACUUUUAAAUAGGAGGAAGGUAGGGAUGACGUCAGGUCCUCAUGGCCCUUAUGUCCGGGGCUGCACACGUGCUACAAUGGCUGGUACAAAGGGUUGCCAAACUGUGAAGUGGAGCUAAUCCCUAAAAGCCAGCCCAAGUUCGGAUUGCAGGCUGAAACCCGCCUGCAUGAAGCUGGAAUCGCUAGUAAUCGCGAAUCAGCAGGUCGCGGUGAAUACGUUCCCGGGCCUUGUACACACCGCCCGUCACACCAACCAAGUCGGGUGUACCCGAAGCUCUGCUUUUAGCGGAUCGAAGGUAUGCUUGGUAAGGAGGGUGAAGUCGUAACAAGGUAACCAAGGGC
rnacentral:rRNA from 1 species